GGCUCAGGAUGAACGCUAGCGACAGGCUUAACACAUGCAAGUCGAGGGGCAGCAUAAAAGUAGCAAUACUUGGUGGCGACCGGCGCACGGGUGAGUAACGCGUAUGCAACCUACCUAUCAGGAGGGGAAUAACCCGGCGAAAGUCGGACUAAUACCGCAUAAAACAGGGGCACCGCAUGGUGAUAUUUGUUAAAGAAAUUCGCUGAUAGAUGGGCAUGCGUUCCAUUAGGUAGUUGGUGAGGUAACGGCUCACCAAGCCGACGAUGGAUAGGGGAACUGAGAGGUUGGUCCCCCACACUGGUACUGAGACACGGACCAGACUCCUACGGGAGGCAGCAGUGAGGAAUAUUGGUCAAUGGGCGAGAGCCUGAACCAGCCAAGUCGCGUGAAGGAAGAAGGAUCUAUGGUUCGUAAACUUCUUUUGCAGGGGAAUAAAGUGCAGGACGUGUCCUGUUUUGUAUGUACCCUGAGAAUAAGGAUCGGCUAACUCCGUGCCAGCCGCUGC
rnacentral:rRNA from 1 species